rnacentral:lncRNA from 1 species
GUUCAGUCUUUGGAGUGGGUUGAAUAUUUUUUAGAAACAAUCAAAUGUCACUUAGAGCAAUGCCUUAUGAAUAAAAUGAUAAAAUGGGUGCACAAUGAUUGGAGUAUAACCAACUUGGGUCACAAAUCCAGGUGUAUUGAUUAAGAAGAAAGACAGUUUUUCUUUGGUGGAUGGCAAACUGUCUCUGAAGGUAAUUAUAAAAGAUAUUCCAAAACUUGCUGAAAUAAGUAUGGGGCUUCUGAAAUGAAUCUUUUAAAGUGGCUGGCGACCUUAGGGAUGCAAAGGUGUUACUCUGUAUUAAACCACCCAUGAACUGUCUUUGAACAACUACUGUUUUCCAGGCACUGUGGUACAGUCCCUGCCCUUAUGUCUGGUGGGAGAGAGAGAGGCUUUGAACUUUAAAAAACUUGGUAAGCUGCAUCAUGCUAUCGUAAUCGGUCCUGUGGGUGGUUAACCUACUCAGGGAUAUCAGCAUAAGUGUGUGCGUAUUGUUCAGGGUUUGAUUAGAGAUGUUACCCUCACUACAGUGUGAGAAAUGAAUGAAUGUGCUGGGAGAUGACUAGACAGAGUGGUUAUAAUAGCUGAGAUACUAUCAUGGGGUUCCCAGAGAUGAUUAGGGAGCAAUUUUUAGGAUUUGUUAAUGAAUUGGAUUUGGGAGGUGAGGGAGAAGAGAGAUGUCAAGGUAACUAACUUCUCCUUUCUGGCAUUAGCAGCUGGCUUCUUGGGAUUCCAGAGAUGGAAAAACACCAGCAUUGAGCCAGCUUCUUGAAAUUGGAACAGAACUGGGUGUGGUUAAUCCUAGAAGCAUGUUCUAGUAGCACAAGUGCGUAAUGGUGAAAGUGCUAAACAGAAGUACAACUAAAGUGCUGUGGGAACAGUGGAUUCCAAGGGAAUGUUCCAGGAGUGACAUUUCAAUCACCUCCUUACUCAGAAGGUCAAGUUUUUCUUAUGAGGUUCUUUCAUCAUGCUUGACUACAUUCUCUGGCAUAUUUCUCAAGGAACUUUAUAUACUUGUACAAAUGAGAUUUUGGGAGUUCUGUCCCAUCAGACUUUUCCAGAUAUGCUCAGACAUAUCCGAAUUCUAUUUAGAUAUAAGAUGGGGCUCUCCAGUAUUUUAAAAACUGAAGGUUUUUUUUUAAAUUUUAUUUUUAAAUAUAUUUUCAGUUGUAGAUGGACAUAACUUUAUUUAUUUUAUGUGGUGCAGAGGAUCAAACCCAGUG